rnacentral:rRNA from 1 species
AACGUAGGACGCAAGCGUUAUCCGGAGUUACUGGGCGUAAAGGGCAGGCAGGCGGGUCGAUACGUCGGAUGUGAAAUCUCCCUGGCUUAACCGGGAGAGUGCAUUUGAGACUGUCAACCUGGAGGGCAGCAGAGGAGCGUGGAAUUCCGGGUGGAGUGGUGAAAUGCGUAGAGAUCCGGAGGAACACCAGAGGCGAAAGCGGCGCUCUGGGCUGCACCUGACGCUGAACUGCGAAAGCCAGGGGAGCGAACGGG